ACCGCAUCGAGGCAGCGGGGCGCGCCGGCCCGCCACGCAGAGACUUAGGAAAAGCUACUGCCCGCACAUGCCAGCACUCGCCACUCUCCCUCGCGUGUUAGAACUUCACCGCAAAGUGGGCUCCAGUGUCUGUGGCGAAAGAAGCACAGGCUCCCUUGUCUCAAUACAGCCAGCCAGAUUAAAGAAUGGCCAGAGUUCACUUCGUCCAGGCAGAAAGUAACUCCCCGACAGUUAUUAGAUUAGGCUUCCCGCUGGCUCUUCAGCUCGACUGCCCAUUCACUGUAUGCCUGCCGUGCUGACUCCUCCUCAUUUACGUCUGACUUGUUCCCUCCCCCCCUACCUUUCCCGGCCCGGCUCUCGCCGCCUCUUCCACGUAGAGCGCCGCUCCCAGCGGGUGCUGUGCUCCGGGCAGCGCUGCGGAGGCGCAGAGCGAGCGGCCGGCAGACGGACGAGAGAGAUGCAAGACACAAAACCAAGAAUUGUCAGAUUAGUGCUUUUUAAUGUUGACCAAAGCCCAGCUACUCCAUUACACCAUGUUGACCAAAGCCCAGCUACUCCAUUACACCAAAACGGCCCAACACUCUCGGAUAAAUUUAGCAUACAGAACUCUGAAUAAAGUUUUACUUGCUUCCCAA